rnacentral:rRNA from 1 species
UACGUAGGCAGCGAGCGUUGUUCGGAGUUACUGGGCGUAAAGGGCGCGUAGGCGGCCUCGCAAGUCCCGUGUGAAAUCCCUCGGCUCAACUGAGGAAUGGCACGGGAAACUGCGGGGCUUGAGUUCGGGAGAGGGAAGCGGAAUUCCGGGUGUAGCGGUGAAAUGCGUAGAUAUCCGGAGGAACACCGGUGGCGAAGGCGGCUUCCUGGACCGAUACUGACGCUGAGGCGCGAAAGCUAGGGGAGCAAACGGG